rnacentral:lncRNA from 1 species
AGACAAACUCUCAAAAUUCCCUUUUUGAUCCCAACGAAAAGUAAAACUCUAACUAUUUGCAAGAAAUCAAUAUUGUCAGUGAAAACUCAUGAAUCAAACAAACCUUCAAAAUUUCCCUUUUCAUCCCAAAGAAAAGAAAGCCUCUAACUAUUUUGCAGGAAAAUCAAUAGUGAAAAAACAAAUUCUCAAAGUUUCCCUUUUUAAUCCCAAAGAAAACUUCUAACUGUUGCAGGAACCCAAUAUUGUCAGUGUAAGAUUCAUGAACAAAACAAGCUCUCAAAAUUCCUCUUUUCGGUCCUAAAGUGAAUCCCUAACCACGGUAGGGUGCAAAAAUAAUAAAACAAAAUAAAAAAAUAAAUUAUUAUUUGUAACCACAAGCGUAAAACUUGAAUUGUAGCUAUUCUCCAGGCGUGGCCUUACAAAACUUUUGAAAGUUUUAGACCCUGAAAUCUAUAGUCAAAGAAAAACCAUGAACCAAGUUCAAGAGAGAAUAUGCAAACAACAUGGCUUUUUAACGUCAAAGACAACGAACAAGACCAAAUUUCAGUAGUCAAAGCUUUAUAACAGUAGACAACACUCCGGAAUAGAGACCCCCUAAAAACAUAAAUUCGACAGACAUGUAUACCUACUGAUUCAUACUAUAAUAUUAGGGUCGUUCAACACCGAUAAUCAUGAGAUGCUAGACUUAUCCAUUAUUAAGCAUUCACGGCCAAUCAACACCAUUAGCACACAAUAAUGAAUUCGGUCAACAAUAAAGUUGAAGAUUACAACGCAGCCAUAGCUUCCACAAAACAGAACAACAUAUCAUAACAAACUAAUCCUACGGCCUUCAUAGCCAUCUACAACUACUCCUAGCAAAAAAACAACAAUAUAAACCUUAUAAAGAAGGAGAUGAAGAAGAAACAAAGACACAAUAACAUAAACUAAAAAUGAAAAUGGUGUUACCUUUUUCGGGGUAUCAAAAUGAGAUAACGGGCUAACGUCAGGAUUUCGAUCGCCACCCGAAGAGCUUCACCGCUAUUCCGAUGAUCUUUCCAAAAAUAUUUUUUAAUAAGAAAAUUGAUUGUGCUCUGAAAUUUCUCUUCCUCUGCUUUUUUUUUCAGAAUUUCGAACUAGAAUUUUUCCAAAAAAAAAUCCUAUUUUUUAGCUCUAAGGAGAGGUAUUUAUAGAGAACAGAGAGAACCCCCCUUCAAAAGUUGCUCCGCCGAUGUGGGGUAAAUUCAUUUAGGGGUAAAUUAGGAAUUCCUCAAAAAUGAAUUCAAAAUUUGAACUCCAGAUCAGAUUCCCCUAACGGAUUUGUACCAAUUUUGUUAUUUUUUGAGGGAAUUCAAUGGAGGGUUGGCCAAUAGAGUUUUUACAAAACAAAUUUCCUCAAGAACCAAUAGAAAUCCACCAACAAUGUAUGGAAUAGUACCAUUGUGGUCAAGAUCCACGUAAUUACCUGUUAUGGUACGUGAGGUGUCUAAUUUCUACAAAUUUUGUUGACAAAAUAAAUUGAAUUGUGGGUCGAACCCAGAUUCGAGUUUGUUGGGUUCGCGAUUUGGUCGUUGAUGUUCGAUGUUGGGUUGGGUUUUAGCGGAUUUAGGUUAAGUUUGGGUCGAUUUUUGGUGCUUUGAUGGUGCCUGGUUGCUGAAGGUGUUAUCGUUGGUGCUGGCUGUUGUUGUCAAUGGUGUUGCCAUUUUUGUCGAUGGUUUGAAGAGAAAGAAAAGGGGUGAAAGGUAUUGGGCCCGGGUCAGCUGGUGUGGGCUGAUAUGUAGUUGGGCCAUAAUUGGCUGGGUGCUGUUUGUUGGGCCUGGUCCCAUUUUAAUUAAAAGGGGGCUGCUGAAAUUAAAGGGGAAAUAGGUAAAUUAGGCUAUUUUGGCUAUUUAUUAAAUAGCCAAAAGGAAAGUUUAGACAAUUAUAUUUAAAUUUAGCCUAAUUAAAAUUCAAUCGACCAAUUGCAUUGCAAUUACUGCAGAAUUAAUUUCAAUUAAGGUCCAAAUUUAAUAAAUUAACUAAAUUAAAUCGAAAUUCGAUAUGAAAUAACACCUUGUUUAAUCCCAAGCUUCUUGAUUUAAUAAAAUCAAAUGCAUAUUUAUCCAAAUAAAUUAUUUUGAUAAUAAAUUAUAUUAAAAUCAAUACUUUAAUCAUUAUAUUUAUUUUUAAAAUAAUUCUUGAUUAAAAUUUAAUAUUUCGUAGAAUAAAUAUUUAAGUAAUCAAAUUAUAUAAUCUUGUAUAACUGAACACGAUAAUAUAUAAUCACUUCUUAAAAUGAUCAAAUUACGUACAAAGAAUAUUUUGAAUUUUGUUUUAUUUGGAUGAAAUAAAUAUUUUGAUUUUAUUAAAAAUUGAAGAAACUCAGGAUUAAAUUUAGUCGUAGAGGGCAAAAAUUAGGUGUCAACAAUUUCCCUCUCCCUUUGGAUAGGGUGGAUGCAAGUAACCCUGGGCAAAUGGAGGUUGACGUUCUUAAUUUUUGUUCAACCACAAAUUUAGAUCUGAAAGAGGUUAGUUUUUGCACGAGUUUCGUAGAGUUAUGGUCGGACCUCGGUAUCAGGUUUCCUACAUAUUUCAGGUUACAUAAAAAUUCAGGCCACUUGUAGUUCAUAAAGCUUGAUUUUAAGCACGAUUUUCAAGAAAAUUCAUAAGUUAUCUCGACUUUAGAGUUUUUGAUGAAAUCGAGAAGUUGGGGAAUAAAGGAAUUUGGGGGGAGGUUAGAACACAGUCAAGUUUUCUACAUAAAGCUCAACCUACAUAUCCCCGAGAUUCAAGAAAUUAGACUGCUUGUAGUUCGACUCAAUCGGUAGAAAAGAUAAUCUUUUAUUUCAGACGAUCUUUGGCUCAAGAUGGGUGACUAGUUGAUCGAGUUGCGGAAAAGAAGCCUGCAAACUCUUAACCAUUAAUAUGGGAUCUUUCACAUCCAUAGGCAAGAACUUACCUGGACAUAAUUUGCAAAACUCUAGGUGUAUUGUCACCCGAAUUUGAAAGAAAAAGAAGGUUACCCUCGGUAUGAGUUUAGAAAUAUUCCGAAGGUGAAUCUUAAACUGGAAUAUCCCAAAAUACCCACACGCCUUCUAAUAGGAGUGUGGUUAGAUGGUAGUGGUCAUCAUCCUUUAGCUCGCUUUUAGAGAGUUUGACGUUCCUCUCUAGACUAUGUCCCGUUUUGCUUCUAAGAAAGAGUUCCACAUUAUGCUGCGUCCUUUUUGGAGUCAUCCACACUUGUGGUUUUGAUUUGAGAUUUUCAUCCUCUCGGAUGGUUUCAACAAUGUUUCAAACAAAAGGGUUAGUGCUAAACAUAAUUAACGAAAGAGGUAUAAAGUCUUUUACCAUAUCUCCACGUGAGUUGUUGCCUGAAAAGCGAAGUUAUUCCUUUCGUGUACCUAUUUGGAAGGAAAUAACAUGCAAUAAUAGACACAACAACUCUCUUGGUUGUUGCAUAAUUAUCUCAUUAGUCGGUUGAAUAUGUCUUCAAGGUGGGGUGUCCCUUUGGGCACCGACAAUACGUUAUGCAGAAAGGUCCCUGCAACCGUGUAAUCUUAUGUUGACGCGACAACCCUUUUGAGUCAUCUAUAACACUUGUAGAAUGAUAACCUUUCUGGUUAUUGACAAUAGUUCUUUGCAUAUGAUCUCAGGUAAGUCUUGCUCAUCUUUUGCAUCGAUACGACUUAUAGAUUUCCCUCGAAUUAUCAAUCUUUGGAUAAUUUUGUGCAUUAUUUGAUGUUGGAUACGAGGCAACUUAUAGAUAUCCUUUGAACUGCUAGACCUUAGGUAAUCCUUCAUAUUAUCCAACCUUGGAUAAGAGAUGGCUUACAGAUAUCCCUCUAAUCGCUAGUUCUCAGGUUUUCUUGCAUAUUAUUUGACCUUGGAUAUAAUAUGGAUUAUAGAUAUCUCUCAAAUUAGUAAUCUUUAAGUAAUAUUGCAGAUAAUCGAUCUUGUAUAUGACGCGACUUAUAGAGAACCCUUGCAUUUAUCAAUUUGAUAAUCUCGCAUAUUUUUCAGUAAGGAUUUAGUUGCAACUUAUGGAUAACCUUCGAACUAUUAAUUUUUGGGUAACCUUGCACACUAUCCGGUUAGAAUGUUGUUGCGGCUUACAGAUGACCUAUGGGCUAUCAACUCGGAGGUAAUCUUGCACACUAUCCUAUUCUGACUUAUAGAUGAUCCUCAAAUUGUCAAUUUCAAGGAAAUCUCAUAUGUCGUUCACUUUCAGAUGACGAUUUAAAAAAGUCCCUUUGAAUCAUAUUCUUUUGAUGCAUUCAGAUGCUAAUUCAUAAAAUAAUAAGAUAUUCUCGAUGUCAUCGUAUGUUAUCUCGUGUGUUAACAGAUAUUAGAUGCUGAUGAUAUCCUCAACGCCAGCGUAUGCAAUCUUGCAUGUCAAUAGAUAUUAGAUAGUGAUGAUAUCCUCGAUGCCAGUGUAUGAUAUCUCACGUAUCAUCAGAUAUUUAAUGCAGAUGAUAUUCUCGACGCCAGCAUAUGACAUCUCAUGCAUCAUCAGAUAUUUAAUGCAGAUGAUACCCUUGACGCCAAUGUAUGAUAUCUCACGCAUCAUCAGAUAUUUAAUGCAAAUGAUACUCUCAAUGCCAGCAUAUGAUGUAUCGCGUGUCAUCAAAUAUUUAAUGUAGAUGAUACCCUCGAUGCUAGUAUAUAUUAUCUCAUGUGUCAUUAGAUAUUUAAUGCAGAUGAUAUCCUCGAUGCUAGCGUAUGAUAUCUCGCGCGUCAUAAGAUAUUUAAUGAUAAUAUCCUCGACGCCAGCAUAUGAUAUCUAGUGUGUCAAUAGAUAUUAGAUAAUGAUAUCCUCGACACCAGCGUAUGAUAUCUCGUAUGUCAAUAGAUAUUGAUGAUGAUGAUAUCCUCAACGCCAGCGUAUGAUAUCUCACGAGUCAACAAAUAUUAGAUAAUGAUAUCCUCGAUGCCAGCAUAUGAUAUCUCGUGUGUCAAUAGAUAUUAGAUGAUGAUAUCCUCGACACCAGCGUAUGAUAUCUCGCGUGUCAACAGAUAUUGAUAAUGGUGAUAUCCUCGAUGCCAGCAUCUGAUAUCUCGCGUGUCAACAAAUGUUAGAUGAUGAUGAUAUCCUUGACGCCAGCGUAUGAUAUCUCGCAUGUCAGCAGAUAUUAGAUGAUGAUGAUAUCCUCGAUGCCAGUAUAUGAUAUCUUGCGUAUCAACAGAUAUUAGAUGAUGAUAUCCUCGACGCCAAUGUAUGAUAUCUCGCGUAUCAACUAAUGUUAGAUACAAUAGCCCUCUCGGCAAUGAGAUGAUAUGAAAUAGUUCUUUCAGUGAUUUGAAAACAGUCUCACCUGAGUUUGUUUGUCUGCUCUUUCUUUCUACAUGUACCUGUACUCAAGGUAGACAAUUAGUAGGCACAAUAUCGCUCUCACUGGCGACCAAAGUCAAGCUUUAUGAUAGUUUAAUGACAAAUACUGAGCAUCAUAAUUUGAAUGGCUUAUUCUGCUAUUAAUCUUCUCUUUUUGAAGAAAUAAUUAAAUAGCAAAUCCACCGGAUGCAAGUAAAUAGGGCAAAACCCUUUCUUAGGGAUUACUCAAAUAUCGUUGCUUCGCUUCAAGGAAAAUUUUUAGGAUGACUUUCUGCUCUUCCUCCUAUUGAGUGAUCCUUUGAUUGUUGUACUUAUUGUGCCAAUUCCCUUGAAUGUACCUGCACUCAAGGUAAAUAUUUAGUAGACACAAAGUCGCUUUUGCUAGCGAUUAUUUUUAGAAAAAUUCAAAAUAUAAUAUUCAUAGAAAAGAUAAGACGUCUUUGUUUGUCCUUCACGAUCUCAAGAAAUGAGAUAGACAAUUCAAGAGGUCCUCGAUAAAUGGGCAUUAAACCCAUUUUUGGGUCUACUCAAAAAUACCAUUCUUGAGCACUAUAUGCUCUGGUGUGGCUCCCAACUUUCUCGGGGAUUUUUGAAAGAGAUCCUCAUUUUGUGUAUUGAUCCCUGCAUCCACAGAAAAAUGAUUAGUUUGAGUGAAACUACUCCGUGUUGACCUUCCUUGAUCCUUGGUUUGCUCCUCGCCAUCUUCCGGGUACUCUGUCAUGUUGGUACCUCCACCCUGGCUCCUUGCUCCCAUAGACGUCUAGGUAAUCACUAAGUAAAAGAUUUGUAUAGAUUUUUGCAAGUAGUCUUUAUUUUAGAAAAUAAUUUCAAAAGUUUCUAAAAAGCUUUAGAAAAUCUCUGUCCGUCAUGUCAUGCACUAGCUCAACAAACGUCUUCCUCUUGGUUUUGACCCGAUGGGGGAUUUUCAAAACUCAUCGUCAUUAUUGGAAGGUUCUUUAAAUAGUUCUAUCAUAGCCUGAGAUUGAGUCUAUCUAGACUUUGUCCCAGCUAGUGACUUUGAAAGUUUUGAGUUUGCCCUCUGGUGCUAGGGAAUUUGAAAUACAUUUUAGUGUUUGGCAGAAAUUUUGAGGCCUUCCUCAAAAUUUCUGCCCCAGUUUAAAGUUGUUUGAGGUGAUAUCAACUCGAGAGGAUCUGAAGUCUUAGUUGGUAUUUGCUCUCUUUAUUGGAUGAUGAUCUUCUCUUGUAAAUUUUUGAGAUUCCUUCUCAAAAAUUUUGCCCUAGUUUCCAUUUCUUGGGGUUAUAUGACCGAGCCGUUGGGGUUCCUACGUAUCCCAUUGUAGUAGGAAUCAGGUCAAAUGUAGUUCAGGACUACGCUAAGGAUAUAUGAAAAAUCCUAAUGGUUUGAUCGAAGCCGACAUAGGCCGCCUACGUAUCUCUUUUUUGAGAAUUCAGGUCAUCACGUAGUUCAUACGACACUAGGGAUAUAUAUAAAAUUUUACUGGGUUGACUGAAGUGACAUAGGCCGCCUAUGUAUCCCUUUUUGGAAAUUUAGGUCAUCACGUAGUUCAUACAUGAAAGAAAAGGAUAAAUUUUUCUAAGGGGUUGACCGAAGCCGACAUAGGCCGCCUACGUAUUCUUUUCUUGGGAAUUCAGGUCAAACAUAGUUCAUACAUAAAGGAAAAAGAUUCUAAGAAAUCACACAUUAGAAAACAUAUUAUUACAAAGGCGAUUACAAAUAAACUAAGGAAAUACAAAAACUAGAACGUCCUUCAAACAUAAUAUCUUUUUACUGCAUCAGAAUUGAUUGGUUUGGUCAACUCUCGACCAUCUAUCUUAGACAAAAUCAGAGCUCCUCCAAAUAGUACCUUGCGAACUAUGUAUGGCCCUUGCCAAUUUAGAGAAAACUUGCCCUUGUACUCUUCUUGGUGAGGAAAUAUGCAUUUGAGAACUAAUUUUCCAACUUUAAAUGUUCGAGCUCUUACUUUCUCGUUGAAGGUACGAAUCAUCCUAUGUUAAAAUAACUGACCAUGAUACACAACCACCAUCCUAUUUUCAUCAAUCAACAUGAGUUGUUCAUAGCGAGCGCGAACCCAUUCUUCGUUACUUAGUUUGGCUUCCUGAAUAAUCCUUAAGGAAGGUAUUUCAACCUCAGCAGGUAUCAAAGCUUCAUUCCCAUAAACAAUUAGAUAAAGAGUCGCCCCGGUGGAGGUUCAAACUGUUGUACGAUAUCCUAGCAAAGCGUAAGGCAAUAUCUCAUGCCAUGAUCUAUUAUUUUCGGCCAUCUUUCUCAAGAUCUUUUUGAUGUUCUUAUUGGCAACUUCUAUGGCUCCAUUCAUCUGUGGACGAUAUGCGGUCGGUUUUGAUGGACGAUUUUGAACUGAUCACAAAUUUCAUUCAUCAAUUGACUGUUCAAGUUUGCCCCAUUAUCAGUAAUGAUCGAUUCUAGCACUCCAAAUCGCCAAAUCAAGUUAUUCCUGGCAAAAUCUCCAACAACUUUUUUAGUGAUGGCUCGAUAUGAAGUAGCUUCGACCCACUUAGUAAAGUAAUCAAUAGCAACCAAAAUAAAUCUAUGCCCAUUUGAUGCUGGGGUUCUAUUGGUUUGAUAAGAUCCAUACCCCAAGCUACAAAAUGCCAAGGUGAACUCAUCAUGUAAAGUUCAUGUGGAGGCAUUCGAAUCAAAUCUCUGUAUAUCUGACAUUUUGGGCAUUUCUGCACAUACUUGCUACAAUCAUUUUCCAUAGUCAUCCAGAAGUAACUGGUUCUUAGGAUCUUUCUAGAAAGGGCAAACCCAUUCAUAUGGGGCUCGCAAACUCUAGCGUGUACUUUUUUUAUUAAUUUAUUGGCUUUCGCAGCGUCAACGCAUCUCAAGAAUCAUAAGUCUGGAGUCCUCCUAAAAAGGAUUUCCCCACUUGGAAACUAGUUCUUUGCCAAAUGCCGGAUUGUCUUCUUUUGAUUGUUGCUGGCUUUUUCAGGAUAUAUUCCAGAUUCUAAGUACCUUUUAAUAUCAUAGUACCAUGGCUUUCUGUUAGGCUCCUCUUCAAUGUGUGCACAAUGCGCGGGUUUCUCCUUCAAUCUUAUUUCCAAAGAAUCGAUGUAACUCUGAUCUGGGUGCUAAAUCAUAGAGGAUAUAGUGGCCAAAGCAUCAACAAACUCAUUUUGCAUCCUUGGGAUAUGUCAGAAAUCAACUUUUUUAAAUCUUCCACAUAAUUCCUACACCAGCUCCACAUAAGGAGUAAUCUUGGAUUUUUUUAUUGCCCAUUCUCCCCGUACCUGAUGAAUCAGCAAGUUUGAGUCCCCGAUGACUAGCAAUUCACGAACACCCAUAUUAAGUGCUAAUUUAAGACCUAGGAUGCAAGCCUCAUAUUCGGCCAUGUUGUUGGUGCACGAGAAAUGCAACUUAGCAAUUACCAGAUAGUGUUAGCCUGUUUCUAACACCAAAACUGCUCUGAUUCCUGAACGCUUGAAGUUGACUGCCCCAUCAAAAAACAACCUCCAUCUGGGGUAAAUUUUUGCAAUGUCUUCUCCUACGAAUAAAAUUUCCUCAUCUGGGAAGUAAGUUUGAAGUGGCUCAUAUUCAUCAUCAACCAGAUUCUCUGCCAAAUGAUCUGCUAAGGGUUGCCCUUUGAAUCACAUACACAAUGUUAAACUCACUCAGCAACAUUUGCCACUUGGCUAGCUUCCCUGUAGGCAUGGUUUUCAAGAAUAUAUACUUCAAUGGAUCUAUUCUCGAGAUGAGCUAUGUUGUGUGUGAGGAUAGAUAAUGCCUUAACUUCUAUGCAACCCAGGUCAGAGCACAACACGUCUUUUCUAUGAGAGCAUAACGAGCCUCGUAUGAUGUAAAAUUUUUACUGAAGUAGUAGAUUGCUUUCUCUUUCUUACUGGUCUCAUUAUGUUGCCCGAGGACAUAUCCGAAAGCAUUUUCUAAGACUAAAAGGUAACGCAACAACGGACUUCCUUUCCUCGGUGGAACCAAAAUCGGUGGAGCAGAUAAAUAUUCCUUGAUUCGUUCAAAAGCUUUCUGACAUUCUUUUGUCCACUCGUUCAGUGCAUCUUUUUUCAACAUCUUGAGAAUUGGCUCACAUAUGACUUUUGAUUAAGCAAUGAAUCUUCUAAUGUAAUUCAAAUGACCUAGGAAACUCAUAACCUCUUUCUUGGUCCUCGACGGUGGCAAAUCCUGAAUUGUCUUGAUUUUGGAUGGGUCUAGUUCGAUGCCCCUUCUGCUGACUAUGAACCCCAGUAAUUUCCUAGAUGGAACAUAAAAGCACACUUAGCAGGAUUCAAUUUCAAAUUAUACUUCCUCAAUCUAUUAAAGAAUUUUUCCAAAUGGGUCAGAUGAUUCGAACUCUCGCGGGAUUUGAUAAUUACAUCAUCCACGUAUACCUCAAUGUCUUUAUGAAUCAUAUCAUGGAAAAUCAUCAUCAUAGCCCUCAUGUAUGUUGCACCUGUAUUCUUGAGACCAAACGGCAUUACCCUGUAAUGAUAAACACCUAGGGCAUAAUGAAAGAUAUCUUUUCUGCAUCUUCCUCAUCCAUCAAUAGCUGAUGAUACCCGGCAAAACAAUCCAUAAAAGACUGUAUUUCAUGGUUUGUGCAAUUAUCGAUGAGGAUGUGAAUGAUGGGUAGCAGAAAAUUACCUUUAGGAUUGGCUCUAUUUAAAUCUCUAUAGUCAACACAAAUUCAAAUUUUGUCGUCCUUCUUCGGCAUUAGGAUGAUGUUGGCUAGCCAUGUUGGAAUAAAAGACUGUAUUUCAUGGUUUGUCCAAUUAUCGAUGAGGAUGUGAAUGAUGGGUAGCAGAAAAUUACCUUUAGGAUUGGCUCUAUUUAAAUCUCUAUAGUCAACACAAAUUCAAAUUUUGUCGUCCUUCUUCGGCAUUAGGAUGAUGUUGGCUAGCCAUGUUGGAUACUUUGUGACCUCCAUAAUCCUAGACUGGAUUUGCUUUAUCACUUUUUCUUUGAUUUUCAGACUCAAGUCCAGCUUGAAUUUCCACAUUUUUUGCUUGACUGGAUCAAACUCGGGAUUAAUCGGUAACUUAUGCGACACAAUGUUAGUGCUCAACCUUGGCAUAUCAUUGUAGGACUAAGCAAAUACGUCAAUGUACUCCCGCAACAAGUAAAUGAGCUCUCUUUUUUGUGCUUCUACUAGGUAGACACUGACACUUUUUUCUUUGAUUUCAUCAUGAUUGCCCAGGUUGACUGUUUCAGUUUUGUCUAGGUUGGGCUUUCUCGAUUCUCAAACUCUUCUAUAUACUCCACUAACCGCUCCUAAUCACCUUUUUUCCAAUCCUCAUCACUCUCUUUAUUUUGUUUGUCUAAGCUUUGACAUGAUAUAACAUUGGCAGGUUUUAAGUUACUGCUACUGUAAUAAACAAACAAACCAAGUUAGAUGAUAAUAAGAUAAUAAGAAGAUAAUGGAAUAUGUUAAUGUAAUCAUAUUUCAAAAUAAUUUCUUAAAUAAAGAGAGGCCUUUUUAUUGAAAUUUGGGAAAUAAAUACAAAUUAUGGCUCAUGACCCGCGCAAAUAUGGGCUCGUGCCUUUUUGAAAGAAGUAAAAUACAAAAAGGAAGUUUGAGACAUAAAGGAUGGAUCGCGGGUCCUCCUUCAGAUCAUCACCAAUUUUAAAAACUACAAGUAAUUGCCCUUUCAUCUACCACGAUAUGAGUGGAGUGGAGGUCCAGUUUUGCAAGGUUCUCCUAGUGCAACCUUCUUCACCCCACUGGAUUUUGGGAAAUCAUAUGGUACUGCAUUACAUCCUUUGAAUAAAUUUCCUAUCCCAUCUCGAAGACUAUUAUCAUUUGGCAUCAAAUGACUGGUACAGAAGUGGCAAGGUCCUAGACAGACUCAUCUUUGGCUUAUCUUCAAACUUGUCCUCCUCCGUCGGCUGAUAUCCUAACCCAUACUUAGAUGCUUUCUCUAGGACCGUAAUGGGAUCAAUAAUUCCUUCUAGAUUCUUACCCAAAUCCCAAACAGGCUCGAACUCAUUUCUCAAUAUCACAGUCACAAUUAUUUUGUAGACAAAAUGCAUUGGAACUUUGAGCGUCAGAUUUUUUUCCGCAGCAUUUACAAUUUCAACUGUAUAAAAACUACUACCCUUUGAAAUGUCUUCAGUCAUCGGCACAUAACCAUUGGGAUAAUUCACGUGGUUUUCUUCCCCUUGGAUAACUAUUUCAUAAUCCUCCCAAAUGAACUUCAAUAAUUGAUGAAGGGGCGAUGAAACUUUCUUUGCACCAUGUAUCCAUAGUCUUCCCAAGAGCAGAUUGUAACUACGAUGAAUAUCCAUGACAUGAAACUUAGUCUUGAAUUCAGCAGGUCCUAUUUGGAUGUACAAAUCAAUUUCACCUAUGUUAUCUCUCUGCCCUCCAUCAAAUGCUCUCACGUUUAUGUGGCUUUGGCGAAUUUUCCCCAAAUCAUAGCCUAUUUGAAUCAGUGUGGAAAGAGGACAAAUGUUCAGACCAGAUCUUUCAUCUAUGAAUACUCGAUCAAUCACAUAGUCCCGACAAAUGAUAGUGAUGUGCAAGGCUUUAUUAUGCAUCGCUCCUUCAAACGACAACUCUUCCUCACUAAACGAUAUGUGAUAACUUUCCAGAUGAUUCGAACUCUCGCGGGAUUUGAUAAUUACAUCAUCCACGUAUACCUCAAUGUCUUUAUGAAUCAUAUCAUGGAAAAUCAUCAUCAUAGCCCUCAUGUAUGUUGCACCUGUAUUCUUGAGACCAAACGGCAUUACCCUGUAAUGAUAAACACCUAGGGCAUAAUGAAAGAUAUCUUUUCUGCAUCUUCCUCAUCCAUCAAUAGCUGAUGAUACCCGGCAAAACAAUCCAUAAAAGACUGUAUUUCAUGGUUUGUGCAAUUAUCGAUGAGGAUGUGAAUGAUGGGUAGCAGAAAAUUACCUUUAGGAUUGGCUCUAUUUAAAUCUCUAUAGUCAACACAAAUUCAAAUUUUGUCGUCCUUCUUCGGCAUUAGGAUGAUGUUGGCUAGCCAUGUUGGAUACUUUGUGACCUCCAUAAUCCUAGACUGGAUUUGCUUUAUCACUUUUUCUUUGAUUUUCAGACUCAAGUCCAGCUUGAAUUUCCACAUUUUUUGCUUGACUGGAUCAAACUCGGGAUUAAUCGGUAACUUAUGCGACACAAUGUUAGUGCUCAACCUUGGCAUAUCAUUGUAGGACUAAGCAAAUACGUCAAUGUACUCCCGCAACAAGUAAAUGAGCUCUCUUUUUUGUGCUUCUACUAGGUAGACACUGACACUUUUUUCUUUGAUUUCAUCAUGAUUGCCCAGGUUGACUGUUUCAGUUUUGUCUAGGUUGGGCUUUCUCGAUUCUCAAACUCUUCUAUAUACUCCACUAACCGCUCCUAAUCACCUUUUUUCCAAUCCUCAUCACUCUCUUUAUUUUGUUUGUCUAAGCUUUGACAUGAUAUAACAUUGGCAGGUUUUAAGUUACUGCUACUGUAAUAAACAAACAAACCAAGUUAGAUGAUAAUAAGAUAAUAAGAAGAUAAUGGAAUAUGUUAAUGUAAUCAUAUUUCAAAAUAAUUUCUUAAAUAAAGAGAGGCCUUUUUAUUGAAAUUUGGGAAAUAAAUACAAAUUAUGGCUCAUGACCCGCGCAAAUAUGGGCUCGUGCCUUUUUGAAAGAAGUAAAAUACAAAAAGGAAGUUUGAGACAUAAAGGAUGGAUCGCGGGUCCUCCUUCAGAUCAUCACCAAUUUUAAAAACUACAAGUAAUUGCCCUUUCAUCUACCACGAUAUGAGUGGAGUGGAGGUCCAGUUUUGCAAGGUUCUCCUAGUGCAACCUUCUUCACCCCACUGGAUUUUGGGAAAUCAUAUGGUACUGCAUUACAUCCUUUGAAUAAAUUUCCUAUCCCAUCUCGAAGACUAUUAUCAUUUGGCAUCAAAUGACUGGUACAGAAGUGGCAAGGUCCUAGACAGACUCAUCUUUGGCUUAUCUUCAAACUUGUCCUCCUCCGUCGGCUGAUAUCCUAACCCAUACUUAGAUGCUUUCUCUAGGACCGUAAUGGGAUCAAUAAUUCCUUCUAGAUUCUUACCCAAAUCCCAAACAGGCUCGAACUCAUUUCUCAAUAUCACAGUCACAAUUAUUUUGUAGACAAAAUGCAUUGGAACUUUGAGCGUCAGAUUUUUUUCCGCAGCAUUUACAAUUUCAACUGUAUAAAAACUACUACCCUUUGAAAUGUCUUCAGUCAUCGGCACAUAACCAUUGGGAUAAUUCACGUGGUUUUCUUCCCCUUGGAUAACUAUUUCAUAAUCCUCCCAAAUGAACUUCAAUAAUUGAUGAAGGGGCGAUGAAACUUUCUUUGCACCAUGUAUCCAUAGUCUUCCCAAGAGCAGAUUGUAACUACGAUGAAUAUCCAUGACAUGAAACUUAGUCUUGAAUUCAGCAGGUCCUAUUUGGAUGUACAAAUCAAUUUCACCUAUGUUAUCUCUCUGCCCUCCAUCAAAUGCUCUCACGUUUAUGUGGCUUUGGCGAAUUUUCCCCAAAUCAUAGCCUAUUUGAAUCAGUGUGGAAAGAGGACAAAUGUUCAGACCAGAUCUUUCAUCUAUGAAUACUCGAUCAAUCACAUAGUCCCGACAAAUGAUAGUGAUGUGCAAGGCUUUAUUAUGCAUCGCUCCUUCAAACGACAACUCUUCCUCACUAAACGAUAUGUGAUAACUUUCCACAAUAUUUCCAUCAUUGCAGUCAGAUUCUCAACACUCGUGACUGCGAGAAUAUACACUUUAUCCAAGACCUUCAAUAAAGCUUAUCGGUGGUAUUGCGAACUCAUUAACAGUUCUAAAAUAGAAAUCUGGGAUGGAGUUUUCUCUUAAUGCUUGACAAUUGAGUAUUUUUUCGAUUGCAUACACAUCCAAAAUUCCUCGGCCUCUUUUUUAGUAAUUGGCCUUUUUUGUGAAUCUUUUCUAUUGGUCAAAUCUUUAUAAAUGUAGCAUCGUCCAGACCGUGUCAUUCCUUGGGCAGCGGCGGUCUCUACAGUAAAUUCUUUCCUAGGCGGAGGAGUGUAUACUUGACUCGGGGCCGUCAUUACUAUAAAUGAGGUUUUCUCAUUGACACUUAAGGCAGCUAUGGCUCUUUCUACCUUCUCCAUCUCUUUUAUCUUUCUGAACUUUUCUGAAUGUACUUUAGUGAUAGCCUUGCUAGAUACCCAUUCACCCCUUACUUUAAUCAUGUUAACUGCAGCUCAUCCAUGAUUAGGCAAUGGAUUACUGUUGACAUUUGGUGCUGACGAAUAAAAUGUAAUAACCUUGUGAUUAAUCAGAUCUUGAAUCUUAUGCUUUAAGCUAACCCAAUCCUUGGUGUUGUGCCCCACCGCCCCUGAAUGAUAAGCAUAAUUUUGGCCGGCAUGAUAAAAUCAGGAGUUAGAAUUGAUAAGAUUUGGCUGGAUAGGAUGUAAAUGACCGACAUUCUUCAAUCUCUCAAACAGUUGGGUGCAACUUUCGGCCAACGACGUAAAGUUUUGGGGAGGUCUUUUUUAAAGGUUUGGACGUGGAGGGUUAUAACUACUCUGGUUAGCAGGAGGGGGUACUUGGUGAUAAUUUGAAGGUGCUUGGAUAUUUGUUCGAUUAUUCAAAAAGGUGGCUUGAACGUGAGGCUGAUAACUCGAUUGUGAGACUUGUUAUUGGGGUAAAAUAUUUGGCUGUGGAACUUGGUAUUGGUAUUGGAUAUUUGGGAGUGGAGUUUGGUAUUGGGAUUGGACAUUUGGAAGUGGAGCUUGGUAUUGGUAUUGGACAUUUGGAAGUGGAGCUUGGUAUUGGGGCUGGGUGUAGAAUACAUGCUGAAAAUUUGGCGACGGCGGAGAGGAGAAAAUAUUCAUAUGCUUGAAUUUCUUCUUCAAUUUAGCAACAGAAUCAACAGAGAUAGCGCCUACAUCUUUCUUUUUCUUUUUUAAGAACAUAAAAGUCCCAAAUGAUGUUGGAGUUCUGACAAUCUUUCCCAUUUGAAUGCCUUCCUCUAGCGAUUCCCUAAUUUUCACUAAAUCUGUGAAAGUCGCUCUGAUAGCAGAUACCAUCCUAGUAUAUUAUUCUCCCUCCUGUGCACUAAAGAACACAAAUAAUAUCUCUUCCUCAGACAUGGGAGGUUGUACCUUAGUAGCUUUUUUUCUCUAAUGAAAGGCAUAGUCUCAAAAACACUCAUCAUUCUUCUGCUUAAUCUGGUCCAAUUAGUAUCGGUUAGGGACUAUUUCAAUGUUAAACGUGAACCUAUCAAAGAAACCCUUAUCCAAUGCCUUCUAACUAGUCUUUCUUUUCAUUUCUUGAGACGUAAACCAAUCUAAGGCUUUGUUGCUUAGGCUUCGGCUCAAUAAGCGCAUCAAUAAUGCCUCAUUUUUUCCUACCCCCACCAUUUGAUCACAAUACCUUCUCGGGUGGGCCAUCAGAUUUCCAGUACUGUAGAACACUUCAAAUUUAGGGAUCUUGUAUCCUUUUGGUAGAUCUACUCUAGGGUGAGCACAGAGAAUAUUGUAACCUAGGCUAUCAUUGUCCCCCAUCCCAUGAGAUUCCUUGAUCCUUAUAAUCUCUUUAUUUAGAACCAAUAACUUCAUUUCAUGCUUAGUCUUCCACUCUUUCUCUUUCUCCUCGUAAUAGCCUAUCUCGAGAUUAGGAAAAGAAUUAUAGAUGUCAGAGGAUACGAUGAUAUGAGGAGGAUUUGGAAGGAGAGCUUGAUUUUGAGGGUGUGAGGAGGUUGUUGGUAGCUGGGGAGGAUAUUUUAGAAAUUGGGAAAGUUUUGUGAAAUUUGAAAGUAAUUUGGUGGUAUCUAAGAAGGAUUUUAUGGGUUUGAAAAUGAAUUUUGUGAGUUCGGAGAUAGAUUUGGUGGAUUUAGGGAUGGAUUUUGUAGAUUUGGGAGCGAAUUUUGUGGAUUUGGAAGUGGGUUUUGUGGGUUUGAGAGUGGGUUCUGGGGAUUUGGGAAUGAAUUUUAUGGAUUUGGAGAUGGAUUUUGUGGGGUUAGGGAUAGAUUUUAUGGAUGGUACGCAUCUGGGUUAUUUUCUUGAUUGGUGUUUUGGACUAGUUGAGAAGCAGAGACGGACGAUAUAUUAAUUGGCUGAUCCCUGAAGUGGAGUAUCGUGUCCUCCUAGAGUGGGAGCAUUGACAGUGAUGUCCAAGUUAGCCAAAUCUUGAGUAUGAUUCAUCUCCUCCUGAAGCAUUUCCAAUUUUCUCACGAGUUCAAAAUCAUCUCGCUCUGUUCCGCUAUUACAUUAUCCCUGAUGGUCAAUGCAUUCUGUUCAUCAUUUUUAGUCAUUUUUGAAUGAUGGUCAGAGGAUGGGAUUUUAUGCACUUUUGAUUGGGUGAGGGAUGUUCUGCCAGCUUAUUUUAAGAUGGAGUAGUUUUCUAUUAUCUGUAAAGUAAAAUUACUCAAAGGCAGAUGUGUUAGUUCCCGUAUGUGAUAAGUAAUGCAAAAUACUUGACAAGAAGUAACCACAUAGAGUUGUUUGUGCCAUAGCCAAAUUAUUCCACAUGAGCGUAGUGGAUAAAUUUUCCUUUGACUUCAAAUGAACACACAUAAGCACAUAAGGCAGUUAUAUCACGUAAACAUUAUAAUAGCGUGUACCCUAACUAGGGUGACCCUUUUUGAGCCAAGGGUUUGGGCCUAACGGAUUUUGAAGAAAAUAUAUAUUUUUAUAAAGUCAAUCCAUUAUCCCCCCCCUCACCCAAACUUCAUAGCUAUGAAAAAGUAUGAAAAAGGGCAUAAAUACCUACAAAAGAUAACAAAAGAGGGAUACAAUCUUUAGGGGAAAGGGAAAUAACAUAAAAAAGAUACGUUCUACGCAGGGGAAUAGAAAAGCUAGCUACUGGAUGCUCCUUCGUGUGCCUUUGCCUUCUUAGUUUUGUUCACCUCCUGCCAUAUUUGAUACCUAUUGAUUCUCAUAUGACUCCCGCACAACUGUGCCUUGUUGUCAUAGGUCAUCCUCUCUAUACUAUCAAUCUGAGAAGCCAUGUUAUCAUCCAAAUCGAUUAGACACUGUCUCACAUUAUCAGCUUCCUGCUUGGCCCACUUCAACUCUUCCCUCAACAUACGUAUAGUCAAAGCAUCCUCCAUAUGCAUCUGUCGGUUUGCGAUUUCACUUUUCUAAAAUUCAUCUCGAAGCCUGUGGAGUCGGAUCUGAUGCUCUGAUUCUAUAUCAACAACCCGAGUGGGCACAUUCAGCCCCAAAAUUAAUGCUCUAGCGAGACUCUUCUUUAACCACUCCUUAUAAGUGUCGCUGACUUCAAGUUCAUACUAUAUACGGAAAGAGACUUUCGUCCACCCUCUUCUUCUCCAUUCGUUUACCAUGUAGUCUUUGAACGAAGAUUCGCCUUCAUUGUACUCAGUAAAGAAUCUAAGCAUAGACUUGAUUUGGGGUGUCUCCUGUUUGAUCUUGAAUUGCCUAAGAACUCUACUAGGAUUGUAGGGACGGGUUCCUCUGAGACCUGGAAGCACUAGAAAAAGCCACUCACCCCCUCGAAUAGUGUAUCUCCCUGGAUAAAGAUAUUUGAUGGACCAUUGGACAUCGUCAUCCCUUAAUCUCCAAAAGUCCUAAACCAAAAUCCCGAAAAUACUUCCCUUUUGAACUUGUACAUGAACAACCACAUGUCAUGCGAUGAUAAAAGUUCCUACCUCAUUUUGUGAUUAGGUUGUACUGUUCUAGAAUUUUUCACCAAAUGCAUCAUCAUCCACCACUGCAAGAUGAGGUUGCAACCUUGAAAGAAAUGACCCUCGGCUUGACACCUUCCUAAAGCUCGAUUUAUGUUGGCUACAAUCAUGGGAGCUAAGUUAUAGAAUACAUUUUUAGAAUCGUACUUUAUUUUGUAGAAGAUUGUGUGGGUCACUGUGACAACUCUUGGAUGAAUUAUGCCAUUUUUCCCUUGUGAAAACACCAUAGUUCCAAGUAGGCCUACCGUGAAUGCAAAUGCUCUUAUCUCCUUCUAUUUUGCUUCUGACUCAAAUUUAAGUCCGAACUUAUGAAAAGCAUUAAAUCUGCCAAACCGACGAUACAACUGAUGAAAAGAAAUAUUUGCUCCAUCACGUUCCCUUAGCCAGGUGUCAUCGUCAGUUAAAAAUACCUCCUUAAUCUUUUAACGGUCCCACACAACUGGGACUAGAAUGUUCUUAUCGGUGUCUCUCUUCUCUUGAAGCAAAUUUCAAUACUUUCAUAGAAAAUCAACACCUCUUCAAUAGUGGGAGUCAAUUCAACAUCCCCGAAGCAAAACACCAUAUUCUGAUCAUCCCAAAAGGUCGUCAGUAUAUGGAUCAUUUUGGGCCAAGCGUCCAUCUCGAUCAAUGAAGGUAGAUUCCCGAUGUGUGUUCUAACAAUCUUUCUCUCUUCUGCACUCAUGUAAUCCCACUAUAGUUUCAGGAAGUGGUCGGGUCCUGUAACUAUCUUGAACUUUUUGCGGGAAUACAGUUGAGCCAUAUCCUACACGAAAGUAGACAAAGAUGAGCCUUCUCCCCGACCCCAAAGGAUAAUAGAUUGGAUUAAACAAGUAUAUAUUUCUUCAACACCUAGAUAUGAUUCGUCUGUAAUUAACUUGAGGUCAAUAGAUGCAGGACAAAUUUUCUAAUGGGCCCAAUACCCCCUCGGGUAUUGGGUCAUCAUAGGCUUGUGCCUAAAAUAAGGUUUUGGUUUUGCUUUAUCCUAGGUGUCUAGAGUGGGUUGGAACCAGGUUCUCAAGCGGACGACUUCGGUUUGAAAAUACGAACAACCAUCAAACGAAUCACGUGCUAAUAAAUCGUCGUAUUUCCAAUACUUUAUUUGGAAUUGAACAACAGGGACCGGGAUAUCCAUGAAACCCCAAAACAGUUUAUAAACAAACGCAGAAAUAUUCUAUGAGAUGUAAUAAUUAAAUACCGCAAAAUGGAAACAUAUAAAUACGUAAACAGUUAAUCAAAACACGAAAUCAAACAUUUGGUUAGAACCUAGUUAAAUAUCCCCAGCGGAGUCGCCAUUUUUAUUUUGCGAGAAAAUUUUGACUUUUUUUUAGAGUCGUCACUUAAUUUUGAAAAGGAAUUAAAAAACCUUUAUAAAAUAUUUUAAAUGAUCCAAAACAGAAAAAUCGUUUAAAAUUUAAAGAUUCUGAGUAAGUGGUUCCUAUUAACAUUUUAGGAAGGUGUUAGGCACCUAAAACGUCCGCUAAUUUGUGGUUAUCUGGACUGUUUGAAAACAUCUUUUGAUUAGCUUCUAAAAAGAUUAAUCUGUUGAAAAGUGAUUGAUUUUUUAGAAAAAACUUGUGUAAAAUAAAUUUAGGCGACUUAGUAGGGAUUUUAACUAAGUCUGAACAAAACUAAUAAAUAAAUAAACACAUAAAAGGGGAAAGGGAGGAGAAAGUAAAGGAUUUAGGCCAUUGGGCCCAAAUCAACGAGACCUGUCUUAGUCUAAUUGAGAUUUUGACCCAUUUCACCUGUCCUAAACUAUUUUUUCAGGCCCGUUGGCCCAAAAUCUAUUUCACCUGUAUUAAAUUUACAACUUUGGCGUCGAGGCCUAUGAAUGAAUAAUAAAAUGAAGGAAUAAAUAAACAAAUGAACAAAUUAAAUAAAAGUAAAAGACAACAAUAAUAAUAUGAGACUUUUGAGUCUCUUAGCUGCUUCAAAUGUGGGACUUUAACCCAUUCUUCUCCGGUCGUCUCUUUAUAUCCAUAUGCCACGAUAUCAACUUGGGAUGCGGUCUUUUGAAAAAUUGACUCGGGUCUAGAGGGCCUCAAUGGCCCAUAAUACACAUGCAAAGAGAAAAGAGCCCGUGUAGGACUCAAACGUAUCCACUUGCAAAAAGAGAAGUGAAGUAAUUAAUAUAUAUCCUAAGGUCAAUAUUUAAACACAUACUAAAUCAUCACGUAUAAUAAAGACAUACAAAAUUAAUUUAACAAAAGUAACUUCCAAUUAUGCAACACACAGGAAACUUAACAGCAGUAACAACAAAAACCAGAAAUAUACAUGGUUUAAAUCCAAAAUAUAACCCAAACUAUGCCCUGUAUUCACUUGUCCACUAUUUCAAAAGAAGUUCAUCACUUUUUAUUACUUGUUACCCUUAACAUGCUGCAAACGCAAAUACUUUUUCAUGUUUUACCCUUAACAUUGACUACUUAUUCUCUUAAUCAUUCUUCUGCUUGAAAUUAAACAUCAGAAAGAGGCAAAAUUAAACAACAAUAGCAAGAAUAUCAAAAGAGCAAGAUAUAGUAGGGAUAAGCAAACUUAAAAUAAUUAAAAUUAGCAUCAUAAAAUACAAGUCUAUCCCGAUCUUCUAUAAAUAUUUACCUAAACUAACUACUAAUAGCAAAAGACAAGUUCUACCAAUAAGAAUAAGCACCAAAGAAUACUCCUAUAGCAACAUCUGAAGACAUAAAUCUUAAAGCAAAUCUAAAAUGUUAGAGCUACCAAAGGGCUAAAAAUGAAUUCAUAUUUAUGCUUAAAUCGACGGAAUAAGGAUAUCAUAAGAAAAAUUUCCAUAUACGAGAUUGUAUAAUCACUAAAAUAAAUAUCGACAAUGAAAAUCUCAUGAACUAGACAAACUCUCAAAAAUCCCUUUUUGAUCCCAAAGAAAAGAAUACCUCUAACUAUUUGCAAGAAAUCAAUAUUGUCAGCGAAAACUCAUGAAUCAAACAAACCUUCAAAAUUCCCUUUUUCAUCCCAAAGAAAAGAAAGCCUCUAACUAUUUUACAGAAAAAUCAAUAGUGAACAAAACAAAUUCCCAAAGUUUCCCUUUUUAAUCCCAAAGAAAACUUCUAACUGUUGUAGAAAAUCAAUAUUGUCAGUGUAAGAUUCAUGAACAAAAUAAGCUCUCAAAAUUCCUUUUUUUGGUCCUAAAGAGAAUCCCUAACCACGGUAGGGUGAAAAAGCAACAAAACAAACUAAAAAAAUAAAUUAUUAUUUGUAACAACAAGCGUAAAACUCGAAUUGCAGCUAUUCUCCAGGCGUGGCCUUACAAAACUUUUGAAAGUUUUAGACCCUGAAAUCUAUAGUCAAAGAAAAACCAUGAACCAAGUUCAAGAGAGAAUAUGCAAACAACAUGGCUUUUUAACGUCAAAGACAACGAACAAGACCAAAUUUCAGUAGUCAAAGCUUUAUAACAGUAGACAACACUCCGGAAUAGAGACCCCCUAAAAACAUAAAUUCGAUAGACAUGUAUACCUACUGAUUCAUACUAUAAUAUUAGGGUCGUUCAACACCGAUAAUCAUGAGAUGCUAGACUUAUCCAUUAUUAAGCAUUCACGGCCAAUCAACACCAUUAGCACACGAUAAUGAAUUCGGUCAACAAUAAAGU